CCAAAGUUAAGAUUGUGAUUCGAGAAAAGGCAUACGAUGGGGUUGUCACCAAAAUGCCAUUUGUACCAACAAAAUACUACAAGCCAUCCUAAUUAAUAUUUGUUGUUGCACUAGUGUUGCAUGGGUGCUUGGAGGCAAUGGUGCUUUUGAUAAACUUGAUACUGAUGGAAAUUUGUAUGUGUAUGAUAAGGCAAGCCUUGUAUUUUCAUGAUUCAAUGUGUUGUAGAUAGUGAGUUAAGCACGUUUUAAUGAAAUUUUGUUUUGUACAAAGUAAUAAAGGAGAACAUUCUGACAAUCUAACAAGAGAGAACCAAGAUUGGAAGAGGAAGGAUAAUGUAUUGUCGCACGAGUAUGAAGCUUGGAAAGAGAAGAUAAAGUAAGAGAGACAAAUGUUGAUAAGGUUGAGGUCGAACUUGAAAAGUGGUGGGUUGUGUACACAAUUAUGGUUGUUUUUGUAUUGGGUUGUAUCUAUUGUAAUUUUUCUAGUUGGUUUGGAUCAAAUAUGUAAGUAGCUGGAAGCAUAGUGUCAAAAUCAAAUAUGUAAUUUUUCUGGUUGGCUUGGAUCAAUAGACGGAUGCAUCAUGUCAAAAUCACUUUAACAUUUGUAUUGAAAAAGCCUUUGGUCUUGAUGUGAGUUUCUACCUGAA